rnacentral:rRNA from 1 species
CCUUCCGUAGGGGAACCUGCGGAGGGAUCAUUACAGAGUUAUCCAACUCCCAAACCCAUGUGAACUUAUCUCUUUGUUGCCUCGGCGCAAGCUACCCGGGACCUCGCGCCCCGGGCGGCCCGCCGGCGGACAAACCAAAACUCUUGUUAUCUUAGUUGAUUAUCUGAGUGUCUUAUUUAAUAAGUCAAAACUUUCAACAACGGAUCUCUUGGUUCUGGCAUCGAUGAAGAACGCAGCGAAAUGCGAUAAGUAAUGUGAAUUGCAGAAUUCAGUGAAUCAUCGAAUCUUUGAACGCACAUUGCGCCCAUUAGUAUUCUAGUGGGCAUGCCUGUUCGAGCGUCAUUUCAACCCCUAAGCACAGCUUAUUGUUGGGAACCUACGGCUUCGUAGUUCCUCAAAGACAUUGGCGGAGUGGCAGUGGUCCUCUGAGCGUAGUAAUCUUUUAUCUCGCUUCUGUUAGGUGCUGCCCCCCCGGCCGUAAAACCCCCAAUUUUUUCUGGUUGACCUCGGAUCAGGUAGGAAUACCCGCUGAACUUAAGCAUAUCUA